GACGAACCGUGCGAACGUUAUUCGGAAUCACUGGGCUUAAAGCGCGUGUAGGCGGGCGGGCACGUCGGUACCUGAAAGCCCCCGGCUCAACCGGGGAAGUGGGGCCGAUACGACCCGCCUCGAGGGGCGUAGGGGGACCUGGAACUUCCGGUGGAGCGGUGAAAUGCGUUGAGAUCGGAAGGAACGCCCGUGGCGAAAGCGAGGUCCUGGACGUCUUCUGACGCUGAGACGCGAAAGCCAGGGGAGCGAACGGG
rnacentral:rRNA from 1 species